CUGAGCUCAGCACAGCCUCCUUGAGGCUUUAUGGGGCACCGAGAUGUUCGCAACCACGAAGAUGACGACCCUUCCAGAGCCACCAGGCCACCCCCACCGCACACGCAAGGAAGCCAGGCAAAGGCACAGAGAGGUUAAGGGCUCUGUCCCAGACCACACAGCCGUCAGGAGCACGGCCGGCGCUCAGACCAGGAGUCAACCGGCCACUAACUGUGACUCGACCUCUCUGAACCUCUGUUUCUCGAUCCACGGAAGGGGACAACAGCGCAAGAGCGCGCAGGGCUCCUGGGGAGCAGCGCCGGCCCCCAGGGUCGCGGCCGCCCGGGUCCUCGCCUUCCCCUCCCUCUGCGCCAC
rnacentral:lncRNA from 1 species